rnacentral:rRNA from 1 species
GAUGAACGCUGACAGAAUGCUUAACACAUGCAAGUCAACUUGAACUUCGGUUUGGGUGGCGGACGGGUGAGUAACGCGUAAAGAACUUGCCUCACAGCUAGGGACAACAUUUGGAAACGAAUGCUAAUACCUGAUAUUAUGAUUUUAGGGCAUCCUAGAAUUAUGAAAGCUAUAUGCGCUGUGAGAGAGCUUUGCGUCCCGUUAGCUAGUUGGAGAGGUAACGGCUCACCAAGGCGAUGAUGGGUAGCCGGCCUGAGAGGGUGAUCGGCCACAAGGGGACUGAGACACGGCCCUUACUCCUACGGGAGGCAGCAGUGGGGAAUAUUGGACAAUGGACCAAGAGUCUGAUCCAGCAAUUCUGUGUGCACGAUGAAGUUUUUCGGAAUGUAAAGUGCUUUCAGUUGGGAAGAAAAAAAUGACGGUACCAACAGAAGAAGUGACGGCUAAAUACGUGCCAGCAGCCGCGGUAAUACGUAUGCCACAAGCGUUAUCCGGAUUUAUUGGGCGUAAAGCGCGUCUAGGUGGUUAUAUAAGUCUGAUGUGAAAAUGCAGGGCUCAACUCUGUAUUGCGUUGGAAACUGUGUAACUAGAGUACUGGAGAGGUAAGCGGAACUACAAGUGUAGAGGUGAAAUUCGUAGAUAUUUGUAGGAAUGCCGAUGGGGAAGCCAGCUUACUGGACAGAUACUGACGCUGAAGCGCGAAAGCGUGGGUAGCAAACAGG